GGGAUCAAUUCCUUAUUUCUACCAUGAGACAGGCAAGAUAAAGAAGAGUUGAUAAUUUCUGCACCCAUCUUACUUCCUGCCCACCACAGAGCAGUUCACCCAGUGGCCUGGUUGGAUGUUAGCCAUUGGCAGGGCAAGAAAUCCAACAAUCGACUGUUGAAGAAUUCCAGAGAAUCAGUCUGGAUCUCUUUCACACAGACAAAGUCUUGUUCCAGCUAAUCUUAGGCUCCUAUGCGAGAGGAAAGAUGCUGGGAGGCCAGCACGGUGGCUCACACCCAUAAUCCCAGCACUUUGGGGGGCCAAGGUGGGCAGAUCCCUCGAGCCCAGGAAUUCAAAACCAGCCCGGGCAACAUAGUAAUAACCCCCAUCUCUACAAAAAAUUAAGAAAAAUAAUUAGCCAGAUGUGUUGGUGCAUGCCUUAGUCCUAACUACUCCGCAAGCUGAGCUGAGAGGAUCACUUGAGCCCAGGAGGUCAAGGUUGCAAAGAGCCAUGAUCCUGUGCCUAGGCAACAGAACGAAAAAGAUGUGAGAAAUACUCAAAGUCUUGGUCUUUACCCAGAAGAAUCAGAGCAAGGAAAAGAAAGAUCUCUUUCCCCAGUUUGACAUCCAUCUUCCUAAAUUUGGACAAAGGGAUCCUAAACCACAGCGUCCUACAGUGAGUCAAAAUGCCCAUGCACUGAUUCUCAUCUCACUGGAGUUACAGACACGGCUCACAGGCUUAAGCGUCUUGCUGUAGGUCAUACGGCAGGUUAAUGACAACACUGGGGCAAGAACACAGGUUACGCUCGUCCUGGGGAAGGCUCCCACACCAAGCUACACACUUCUGCAAUGCUGUUCCAGAUGUGAAAAUCCGCUAAGACAAAUAGGUCACAAAAACACCAUGGGAAACGAUGAUGUCUUUUCCUUUUUGUUAUCUUGAUAAAGCUUCAUACAUGAAUGAUAAAAUGGAAAUUUCAGUUGAGGAACUAAUAAAUCAACAGAUGUCUUACUCCACAACGAGGUGCAAGAUCUUGAGGCUGGAUUUAGAAAGAGGAAGAGAAGACCAAUUGCACAGCUCAUCACCCCUCACCCAUCUGAUGAUAUGAAAGGUUUGAAGGAAGCCAGAGCUGGAGCAAGAUUUUCCUCAGAUGAGUUUUGAUGAACUACAAAGAAUGAAGAUGCUCUCCCUUGUCAUCCCCAGUCAAAGAAAAGGCACUUUAAAGAAAUCACUCACGAGCCAGAUAUUGUGGUUGUAUUUUGGUGGACACAGUGAAGUCACGUCUGGCUCGCUCCGCAAAUACUGGGAGGGUGAGAAGUGGGAGGCAGCCGUGGGACCGCUGAGUGGAGGAGGCUGACCUUUGAGGAAGCACGUGGGAUUUUUCCCCGCGGAACAGACGUGAGCCAUGAACACGGGAGCAAAAGUGUGCUAGAGUAACUCCCGUCAAAGAGAGACCCUUACUAGGGCAAGAAGACCUUGAUCAAAGCAUACCCAGAUGCCGAGGUUCUGAGGAAGGAAAUAAGUGACCACCAGGCAUGGUGCUCUGAUUAUUAAGCUAGUUUCUCAGCUCCAAACUCAACCUUCACUGCUUAGCCUUGUCACGGUGGGAAGGCUGGGAGAGGCCAAACCACCUUUCCCCUUUGCCAGGGCUCCCUGAUCAGUUCUGCCUAUGUGCUACUAAGGGAAACAGUAAGGCUGGAGGAGGGAAAGGGGACACCACCCUUCUCUUUGCGCACUGCUUAUGCCAGCAGCAUCCGAGCAAUACCGCUUGCCCUGUAGUGCUUCUUGAGUCGGAUUUCAGUUCAGUGUCUGGGUUUUUUAACAUUUCUAUAACCAUUCUCCCUCCUCAAUAGCACUCCCACAUCAGAAGCUGAGUCCCAGCUCCCUGACUUCUCCAGAUCCUAGAACUAUCAGCACCAGCAGCAGCACACAUUCCAUUCCUGUGGGGCUUGGCUCUGUGAGGCUCCUCUCAGCUCCCAGAUUCUCCCAACACAACUUCUUUCCUUUGUUCCCCCAGACUUCGAGCAGGUCAUUUCUUGCUAUGCCUGUCUAACCCCUUCCCUAAAUUCAAUUCUCUCUGUUAAGAUAACCAGUAUGUUUCUGCUUUCCAGUCUGGAUUCUGAUUGAUACACAAAAGCUGCAUUCCCACAUCAAGGGAACUCCGAGUGUUCACCCUCCGUGGUAAGGGGAGACUGGGAGACCCCACAAAAGCAUCCCAAGAGAGGAAGAGUCCCUUUACACACCUGCUGCCCCGUGUGUGGAUGCCCACUGAGCACGGAAGUUGUCAAGGACAAAAGGAGGAACUAGCCCACCAAGCAGGUUUAAAGGGAGUGUCGGACACAAAAAUGACAUGCCCCAUAUUGCAGUCUAGAAGGAACAACACGGUGAAUUGUCUACUGCAGAACACUUCACUCUGUCUCGAUUACUACAUGGUGAAUUGAAGUUCCAGUAGAGAGGGAGUUGAGCUGAUACUGAGGAGGUA
rnacentral:lncRNA from 1 species